GCCUGAGAAAUCCCAAAAGGGGCCUCGGCGGCGGGCUCUGGAUCCCGCUGGGGGGCUCUGACCCUGCCAAGUCUGGGCACUCCGCUGCGGGCCUCCUGGCUCCCGGGGUUCAUGGCUGUUAUGGUUCCUGGCUGUCGGGGCUCCUGGCUUUCGGGGCUCCCUGGCUGAAGGGGCUCCUGGCUGUAGGGGCUCCUGGCUAUGGAGGUUCCCGGUUAUAAGGGCUUCUGGAUGUAGUGGAUUCUGGCCGUCGAGGUCCCUGGCUGUCGGGGCUCCUGGCCGUAAUGGCCCCUGGCUGUCGGGACCCCUGGGUGUCGGGGUUCCUGGCUGUCGGGACCCCUGGGUGUCGGGGUUCCUGACUGUAGGGGCUCCUGGGUGUUAGGGUUCCUGGCUAUAGCAGGGGCUCCUGGGUGUCGGGGUUCCUUGCUGUCAGGGCUCCUGGUGGUAGAGGCUUCUUGCUGUUGGCUUCCUGGCUGUCGGGGUGACUGGGUGUCAGGGCUCCUGGUGUUAGGGUUCCUGGCUUCCUGGCUGUAGUAGGGGCUCCUGGGUGUCGGGGUUCCUUGCUGUCAGGGCUCCUGGUGGUAGAGGCUUCUGGCUGUUGGGGUUCCUGGGUGCCAGGGCUCCUGGGUGUCAGGGUUCCUGGCUGUCAGGACACCUGACUCCUGAGGCUCCUGGCUUUUGGGGCUCCAGACCUUCCUUGCACUUCCUGUGUCUCCUGGGUCUGUAAUAGAAGGGGCCGGUGGAGGGGUGGGGGUGAGACAUGUGAGUGAAAGUGAAGUCAGAUGUGUACAUUUAGGAAGCUGAAAUUAUCAAAAAUGAAAUUGCAUAAAGGUGAGGAAGAACUGGGAGGUCUGGGAACAGAAGUGGUAGAUCUUGAACUUCAACACAGACAGGGUGCUUCCAAUUCAGUCCUGGGACCUGAACCCGGAGCCCACAGCAUGUCCCUCCUCCCCUGGCCCUCCGCGCGUGCCGCCACUCAUUGCAGCCCCACAGAGCCAUCACCCAUUGUAACCUCAGAACAGAAGGGGCUGGGUGGGUCCACAGAUCCCUGCACUCCUCCCGUCUUGCCUCCUUGGAUGAUCCCUGGCUUGUCUUUCUCCCUUGGGAAUCCCCCUGAUGUUGGCUCUCCAUGUGGUGUACUCUGUACCCCACACCCCAUGCUUCCCACACACCUUCUGGCCUGAGUAAUCUCCAUGCCCCCAGUGACAUCAACCUCCAGGGAAACCUCAAUAGCAAGCCCAGAACCCUCCCCUGCAUCCCAGAGCCUAGCAUCCACUAACUUUGAGGAGGGGCCAUCUUUUAUUGGAUAUCCCCAAACCACACUGGGCCUUCCCUCCAAAGUGCCUCUCCUCUUGGUUCCCAUCUCAGGGAACACCAUCGCUCCCACCCAGACACUUGGGGCUCCUUCUGACUGGUCCCCCUGCUGUCCCUGGGCUUUGAGGCCAAGCCCCCACAGAGCCUUCCCUACUAGCCAGGUGUUCCCAGGCCUCCUUUGCUUGCUUCUACCGUGGCCUGUCUCAUGUUGUAGAACUGUGCUUGUCCUCCAUUGGCCUGUGUUCUUAAAGGGCAGGAGCUGAUCUGUGUCUCAGUGCCUGGAUCAGAGUCAGACACAUAGGAGGUACUCAGUCCAUGCUAACAGCUGCCAGAGGACUGGGCUCACUGGAUUGCAAAGACUUCGUACGAGAAAAGUAGCAUAUCAUUCAUACUUUUUAUAUUGAUUACAUGUUGAAAUGAGGAUAUUUGGAUAUAUUCGGUUUUCUGAAAUAUAUUAUUUAAAUUGGUCUCUUUUACCUUUGGCUCCUGAGAAAUGUCUAAUUUCAUAGGCAACUUUCAUUCGUGGCCCUUGAAUUUUCUUGGGCAGCACUACUGUGGUGUUUAAAAGCCUUUUGGAGCCUGUCACAUGUAUACCUCACCUGGAGAAAUACAUGGUAUUGAACACGGUAAAUUGUGUUAUUUAAAAUGCAACAGGAGAGUGAUGAGGAACCAUUUUGUAUCUUGCCUGUGGUGGUGAGAACACAAACUAAACAUGAUAAAAUUGUAUAGAACUUGGCUGGGUGCUCUGACUCACACCUGUAAUCCCAACAAUUUGGAAACCCCAGACAGGAGGAUCACUUGAGCCGAGGAGUUGGAGACCAGCCGGGCAACAUAGGAAGACCCGGUCUCUACAAAAAUAUAUAUAUAUAUAUGAGUCAGGCAUGGUGGCUCACACUUGUGGGCCCAGGUAGGUGAGAGGCUGAGGUGAGAAGAUCACUUGAGCCUGGGAGUUGGAGGCUGCAGUGAGCCAUGAUCCUGCCACUGCUACUGCCCACUAACCUGGGCGACAGAGCAAGACCCUGUCUCAAAAACAAAAACAACGCACACACACACACACACGCAUGCACGCGCGCACGAGUACAAGUAAAACUGGGAAAAUCUGAAAAAGAUCAGUCGAUUGUUUAUAAAUAUCAACAUCCUGGUUGCAGUAUUACAGUUUUGCAAGGUGUUGUCAUCGGAAGAAAGUGUACACAGGAUCUGUAUUAUUUCUCACAACUGCAUGUGAAUCUACAGUUGUUUUAAACUAAAAAGUUUAGUUAAAAACCAUGUAAAUAAGACUUUAAAGUUUACUAUGAAAAGAAUGCAAUAGGAGGGAAAAAAGACACCAUGUCAAAAAAAAAGAAAAAGAUACCAUGUCAUAAAACAAGAUACACAUUCUGGUUAUCACUUUUUUUCUUUUCUUUUCUUUGAGAUGGAGUUUUGCUCCUGUUGGCCAGGCUGGAGUGCAAUGGCGUGAUGUCGGCUCACCGCAACCUCCACCUCCCGGGUUCAAGCGAUUCUCCUGCCUCAGCCUCCCAAGUAGCUGGGAUUACAGAACUGACUGGGAGAACCCAGCAAGGCUGGUCUGGUGUUCAGAUUCUUCCUGGCCUCUGUGCAGCCUCCUUCCUUCUGGGUAAAGGAGCAAGACCCUCUGUGGAAUGAGGUCUUAUGAACUACACUCAAGCAAGACGGAAUCUCGUUCUGACGCCCAGGCUGGAGUGGAGUGGCAUGAUCUCGGCUCACUGCAACCUCCGCCUCCCGGGUUCAAGCAAUUCUUCUCCCUCAGCCUCCCAAGCAGCUGGGACUACAGGCGUGUGCCACCACACCUGCAUUUAGCCAUUUAGCCAAGUUCUAUUCCGUCUUGGUGGUGGUGGUGGGGUUCCCAUAGCCUGAAGAAUAAGGGCCUGGGGCUCUGGGCCUGGGGACUGAAGCUUAGGCCUUGGAGACCUGAAGCUCCAGUGGAAGAUGCUUUCCUGGACUUUCCUGGCAGCAAAAAAAACUUCACCUCUUGCCUAUGAAUUGCCUGUAUUUUAAAGGGUGUGUGUGUGUGUGUGUGUGUGUGAGAGAGAGAGAGAGAGAGAGAGAGAAAUUGAGGUGUAAUUAUUUUGCUGGGUGAUGACAACAAACAUUUACUGCUCCUAAACAGGCAAGGAAAUGAUUUAGCCAUGAACUUUUCAUGAUGCCUCAUUCCCUCCUGUGGUCCCGUGGUCCUCAGGCUGCGCAGUGGGAGAAGGGGGGGUGGGGGGCCACAAAUAACCCACGUGGAAAGGAAUGUGGGGUCAGCCUCAGGAAAACUGGGAGGGGAGGUCCCACCUGGUGGGGGUCUUUGUAAACCCUACCAAGGGAAGCCCAGAAACACAAAGAGGUGCAGGGAGAGAAAGAAGGAGGAGGUGUUUUAAAGAGUAAAGCCUGGCAUUAGAAAGUGUUAUUCGAGUAAAAUGGCCAACGUUUCCUUUCUUUUAAGAGCGACUCUUAAAUUCCAAUUACUCCGCCCCCAAAGACCAGUUGAGAAUAACCCCAACUGGAGGGAAUUAAUUUCCUUAGGAAUUUCACUCUUACAAGAUUAAUGGAGCCCCCCUGCAGAGAAACGGUAAAACUGUAAGUACAGUAGAUUUGCACCUGAAGGAUACAUAUUUUAAUUUCUGUUCUCAAGCUGCGAUAACAUCUUCUCCAGCUACUAUAAAAAGCAUAAAUGAGCACCCGCACGUCUGCUGAGAACUUGCAACCCCAGGCUCCCCGGGAGCAGCCCCGCGCCGACCCUCCACGUUGCUCGCCUGGGUGCGGCGUGGGCGCGGGGAUGGGAAGGCGCGGGGAUGGGAAGGCCCAGGGCAAACAGCCUCCCCGCGAGCCGGGUCGACCCAGCCCAGAGCAGAACCCCUGGACCAGAUUAUCUUAAGUCGACCCCUACCCCGCCCCCAGCCCUGUCACCCACCGUGGCACCGCCCUCCCGCGGGGACAAUUGGCCUGGACCAAGAAUGGGGAGCCUGAACAGUGGCCGGUCUCCCACCCGCUCCUCCGGAGCCUGCAGGGGGGUUCAGCCUCUGUCCAGCAGACUUCCUGGCCCCAAGAACGGGCCUUGGGAAGGGGCUCCCCUGACUCCAAGUUGACAGCAGCCCGUCCCUUCUCCUUAGCCCAAGCCACUCUGGCAAUGGGGACCUGCCUCCCUCACGCUAACCAAGGACCGGUCUGGGAUGGGGAGUUGGAGAUGGGCUGUGAGGACUCUUCUCUCAGCCCUUAAGAGUCCAGAACUUAUCUGGGAACACAUCAGCCAAUUUUCUGUUCCCUUUCUUGCCAGGAACUGCUUUUAUUGGAAGAAGUCUAUGUAUAUGCAUGCCAUAAAGGUUGUUUAUGCUGUCAUAGCUAGAUUUUUAUUGGUUGUAUUUUUGCUGCACUUGCUUGAAAAAUAAUUAUUUUCAAAGAAAAGAAGAAUUACAUAUCCAGUAAACUAAAUAAGACUCACUGUUUAUUAGAGACCUCUGACAGCUCCUCAAACACGAAAAAAGAUUUCCAAGUAGUGGAUGGACAAUUUAUGUAAGUAUGUCUUAUCUGAUGGCUUCACAGUAAUCUGGUUUCCCCUAAGAAGCUAAGACUAUCUGGGCUAUUUGAGAUCCUGCAAGAUUUAUCAAGACUGUACUAGCCAUAUGAAAGCAUGUUAACACAGGGAGGGAGAGAGGAAAAGCCCUCCACAUGUUAUGACUGGCAUACAUGCUUCCAAAGCAUCGUUACUAACCGAAGGCCCAGUUCCUGAGGCGAUCACCCCAGACACACUGAAUGCAAUUUGUUGGUCACUGAGUGGGUAUACCUAAUCACCACAGAUGUUUACAUGCAGCUGCAUUUUCUCUCCGUUUGAGUCACAAUGUUUUAUAU
rnacentral:lncRNA from 1 species